rnacentral:rRNA from 1 species
UACGUAGGUGGCAAGCGUUGUUCGGAAUUACUGGGCGUAAAGGGCUCGUAGGCGGCCAACUAAGUCAGACGUGAAAUCCCCAGGCUCAACCUGGGAACUGCGUCUGAUACUGGAUGGCUUGAAUUCGGGAGAGGGAUGCAGAAUUCCAGGUGUAGCGGUGAAAUGCGUAGAUAUCUGGAGAAAUACCGGUGGCGAAGGCGGGUCUCUGGGCCGAUACUGACGCUGAGGAGCGAAAGCGUGGGGAGCGAACAGG